rnacentral:lncRNA from 1 species
CGUGCGGCCAGCGGGGGGCGUGGUGUGCACGUUAACCCUGGCGUUUCUGAACCCAGAGCGUCCCAAGUCUUUCUCGGUGGAUCUGCAGCUCACAGGCAGGUCUACAGACUGGUUGAUUUUACCUCAUGUAUAUCAAGGAAGAUGCCAUGCCAAUGAUCCCUCUCUGGUGAAGAAGAGAAAAUUCACAGCAGCCAGCACAGGGCUGGGCCUGGAGAAGCACGUGACCACCACUCUGAGGGAUGGUGACCACGCAGUUAACAGGGAUGCAAUUGCUUGGCAGAAACCACCUGUGAGGGAAGGAGGCAACCAGGACGGGAAAGGGGAAAGAGCUGAGGACGGAUGUGGUCUAAGGCAACCCUGUUACCGCCAAAAGGGGCCUUCUACUCGCUGCAAAGACAAGCCGACAGUCAACAGCUAUUGCCAAGAGAAGAUGAAGCGGCACAUGGAGUUUGUGCAGAGGUGGGGGGCAGGCAAUGACUGAUCGUCCAAGGCAACACGGGGUGAGGCAAGUGCUUUCCUCCAACCCAGCUCCUCGCUUGUAUCUCCUCAACGCCCUCACCCCGCUGCACCCCAGGCUCUCUAUUAGUUCUCGGAUUCCUGUGGUUUCUUCAGGGGAUGAUUCAGGAACAGGCAGCCAUCUUGGCAGGAAGUUGCAAGCCUCACACCUGUGCCGCC